rnacentral:lncRNA from 10 species
AUUUCACUCACCAGUCAUCUCCUCCUGUGGCACUGCUCACAGCUCUCCGGGCUGCACUAUAGGGUGAUGGAAAAAUAUCAUAAGCCUGGUACUGCCAUGAACAUAAACCCAGCUGACCUGCUUGCAGAUGAGAGACUGUAAAGAAAAAGGCUGACUCAGUCCAGUCGUCCAAGCCUAGGCCCCAGACAUGUGAGAAAGCCCAGCAGAAUCAAUAAACCUGCCUUGUAUGUGACUUGUGAGCCAGAAUGCAACUCUCCUCUCCACCCAAAGACUCAUGAGCUAAGUAAAUGCUUACUGUUUUAUACUGGGUUGUGUGUUAUGGUUGCUCGUUACAGUGCAUAUUGUGGGAGUAGAUAGCAGAUACACUCUUUUGCUGAGAGAAUAUGCUGACCUGGAGCCAUCAGUAGAAACACUGUUACACUGGCAUAGACCCCCUAAAUUAUCUGUGAGAGCAACAGCAGAACUCUAGUAAUAAUAGCCAUACACAAAUCAAAGAUAAGCCCAAGAACCCAGAGCUAGGUCCUGGGGCAGAGACCAGUAAGGCAGGAGUUAAGCCCAGAUAUCAGGGUUUAAGGCCAGGAGUUGAUGAUAGGAGCCACAAGCAGCAGACCAGGCAGAGUAAAAUAAUUCACCCAGUCAAGAAUUAUAUCACAGCUUGAAUCAAUAGGGGAGGAGUCAGGAUUCAAGCCUGUGGUAUAAGUCAGGAAAAAGGAUCCGUCUAGGGCUAAGGAAGGCAGUUAACAUAGUCAAGAACCCCAGGAGUUCUUCAGUUGCAGCAACUAGUAUAAUGCCUACACAUCCCAACCACCCAACAAAUGUGUUGAAUGAAUGAAUGAAUGGCUGCAGUAAACUUAUGACUUAAAGCUAAGUAAUCCAAGCACUAGCAUUGAGAAAUUGAUAAAAGGUUGAUCCACAGGGACAAUGAAUGGUACAGAGCUUUUGGAAAGUGAACUCUUAUAAUUAGAAUGUUUAUAAUCAUUUAUUUUGUAAAGGUGACUUUCUAUCCCUGGACCUUUCAUACAAGAGGCAUUUAAUAAUGUUUAUUGAAUUGUAUUGUAGGGUAUAAUGGUGUAAAAAUGUUCACUUCAUUUAUUUUAGAUAUCAUGAUAUGAUUAUGAGGGGUUAUCCAAACUAUUACCACCGCCAUCACCUUCUUGGAGCAAGUGCAGUUUCUUGAUACUUAAUGUAUUUGUGUUCAACUGAACUAGGAUCAUAAAAUCAGAGCAGAUAUCCCAAGGAAGCUACUCACAGUCUCCCUUCAGGUUUGCCUUCAACAAAGCCCCACACUUAAAAGUAUCGCCAAAGAUUAUCAAGAGGCCCUAGUUCCAGAAGUGGAGGUGAACAGAACCUGAACUUGUUGCUUGUUCUUAAAUGGACAUUCACCAGGUGGCACAGAGUGACUUUAUCUGGAUACUGGACAGACAUGAUUUCAUGAAUUUUGCACUUCCAAAAUGCUAAAAUACUAUAUUAUCCACACAAUUGAAAAGUAGAAUUGAAUACGCUCAUCGAUAAGAUUUCAAAGACUAUCAUUAAGGGAUAUGCCAGCUGAAGUUUCCUUUACACAAAGGGCAGUGAGGGGCUGUCUUCUGCUGGUGUUAGUAAUUAUCCAGCUUUGAUGAGUAAUAAUACAAACAAGAAGGCCAAUUACAGUCCUGGGAUCAUCAGUUGUAGAACUUAUGAUCCUCUGUGAUAGGCUUCCUUUAUUGAUUAACUUUUUUCAUGCAGUAGUCAAGGACCCGGGGAAGCCUUUUCACAAUAGCUUUUUGUUAGUAUUAAAUCUGCCUUUUUCAGUGACAUAAAAUGGAAAGUUUAACAAUACGGGUUUCAAGUAAAAGAAUCAGCAUUUCUGAACAAUAAUGCUGAUAAAACACCUAUCAUUUUGUUUUGUUAUUUUCUCCAACUUACUAUGGAUAACAAAAUUAGUUCACCCAGGAAAAACACUAUCAGGGUUCCAUAGACAUCUAAACUUCUAAUUAUAUGCAACAUCCUAAACAUCAACCUCUAGAACAUCUGGAUAUAUAAAAAUGUGGUAUGGACUUUAUGUUCAUUGGAUAAUUUUAAAACAAUCACCUAGUAUAAAUUUCACUACUCAUUUUCUCUCUGGGUAGUUUUAGGAAUGAUUCUGUGUUUAUUGUUUCUUGUAAUACUAUUUGUGUGUGUGUGUGUGUGAGAGAGAGAGAGAGAGAGUACUUAAAGCCUCACACAUACUACAUUCUGUAGCACUUUAGAAGCAUCUCCAAUUACUAAAUUACUUUUUAUAGAAAUUAAGAAAAAUCUUUUUACCAUUUCCUCUGUAUUUUGCUAUAAUCCAGCAAGGAUUAAAAAUACUUAUUUAGACUCUCUUACUAAACUGUUUUAAUAAGUGAAGUUAUAUUAGAAUGCCUUGACUUUUCAAAAACAGACUAGCAAGUUUGUUUGAAAACCCAUUCUUAACCAUAUUUGAUUAUUAUUCUUUCCCAACUUAAAAUCCCAAAGUGUAAAAUUACUCAAAGUGGAGGAAAGUUAACAGGAGUAUGGGUCUAUAUCUGUAUUUUUCAAAUUUUUGAUUCAUGUCAGGAAAUCUGAAAAUUGCUUCAUCAGAUUUUCAUAAAAAGGAAAUAAUUCUGCCAAAAUUGUAGCAUUAUGAUAUAAAUAUGGGUAUUGACAACUUGCGGGGGACUCUUUGAACAUCAAUCUAAUUAAUUACUUAUCUUCUUGUCAUAGCAAUCACUUACUCUUAGGUGCCCUAAGGCAGAAUUGCUGGGAGGGUUGGACGGUGGAGAAAGCUAAUAGUCAGAAGAUUAAAUGUAGCAUGAAUUUAUGGAGGUGAAUGAUAGCACUUAAAUGUGCCUAACCCCAAAAUGUGAAAUAUUCUGAGCUUCUGAUGACACAUCACUAAAUCGAGACAUAAAGUUCUGAUCUAAUUAUGGACUUGACUUUGAACCUAGACAGAAAGUGAUAGAGAGGCAGUGAUAGAAAGAAGAUAUGAUGGGAGUGGGUUGAAGAACUGGGAAAGGAAUGUACAGAUAAAUCUAAAGGCAAGAAAAUACAUAUGCAUCAUAGUAAAGUACCCUUUCAACCCAAAAUUAUAGCAAGAAAUAACAUUAUCUGAUUUUAAAUUUUACCCAUAUUAGAGUUCUCUAGUGAAAUAGAACCAAUAGGAUAGACAAACAGAUUGGCAGAAAGACAGAUAGAUAGGUAAAGAGGGUUUUUAUUAUAGGAAUUGACUCGUAAUCAUAGAGACCGAGAAGUCCCACAAUAUGCUACCUGCAAGCUGAGAACCAGGGAAGCCAGUGAUGUAAUUCAUCUGAGUCCAAAGGCCUGAGAACCUGUAGGACCACUGGAGUCUGAAGGCCCAAGAACCUGGAGUUCUUAUCUCCAAGGGUAGGAGAAAAAGGAUGCCCUACAUCUCAAAAAGAGAAAGCAAAUUCCCCCUUCCUUCUCAUUUUUGUUCAAUCUGGGCUCUCAACAUAUUGGAUGAUGCUUGCCUACAUGAGUGAGAAUGGAUCAUUUUUACUGAGUCUACUGAUUCAAAUGCUAAUCUCUAAAAAUGCUACCCACCCCUCACAGAAAUGUUUUACCAGCUAAGUACCCCUUAACCCAGUCAAGUGGACACCUAAAAUUAACAAUCACAACCAGUUACCCCUACUUCCACCCAUGCCGACCAGUAUUUUGUUAUGGUAAGAGUAAAUUGAAUGCAAGUGGGCAGGAUGAAAGGGCAAAGCUAGCAACUUUGAUAGCGCCCACAGUAGUUAAGAACACUCUGCUCAAUUCAAUUCGGUAAUUAACUUAUUAGUGUCUAUCUUGUGUUUGGUGCUGUGCUUGGUACAUAGAGACAAAGUUAAAUGCCACAAGGCCCUUGACCUCAAGGAAUCUGUAGUCUAGUGAGGGAGAGACACAUUUAAACAAAUAAACAAAUGUCCAUGUGAUACAAGCAAUAUUAGAAUCACAGAAGUGAAACAGACAAAGGAAUGAGUCAUUCUGUCUAGAAGGGAAAGAAAACAGGAAGUACCUCCUAAGCAAGGUUUUGAAGAAUGAAUAUAAGUUCAAAGACAAAAUAGGAAGGGACUGCUAAACAGAUGGAACAGCAUAUGCAAAAAUACAGACACAAGGAGCAGCGGGGUGUGAGAAGCAAGGCAGGUGGAAAUUUUGAGUUCAUUACAUAGAGAGAGAUAAGAAUUGUGAUGUGACCAGCCUUGAAUUCUAUGCCAAAGAACUUGCUUGGAUUUUAUCCUGUAGAUAAUACCCAAAAUGGGAGGAGCUGAAACCUGGAAUCAACAGGGUCAGUUUUGCCUUUUAGAAACAAUGCCCACUACAGGAAGAUGGACUGAAAAGUUGUAAAAAUAGAAGCAUAGAGACCCAUAGGAGUCUCUGGUACAGGAAAACCUCCUUAAGUUCUCUUUCACGAAUUGUGAUUAUCUAAGUGGAGAACUUUCUCCUUUUUAGAAAACAAGAAAAGGCUUACAAGGCAACUCAUUUUGAGACCAAUUUUUCAGAUAUGUAUGCCUUUUAAAGAUUUGGAUCUGCAAGAAAAAAGGAAAAUGGUUAUUUUUAAACAUAAAGUGAUUGUGACACUUAGAGGCAUCAUUUAUGGUCACUAUUGCCUGGCAUAUGAUGGGCACUAAAUAUUUAUCUAAUUAAUUAAUUAAUAUAAUUGCCCUUUAUAUUGGGUCUUUUUUAUCUUAUUCACAAAUCAUCCUUGGCAAUUUGACAUUUUAAAUAAAAACAGAGUUAGCUUAAAAUACUUAAAAAUAAUCAAACUGAAUUUAUUUAAAUUUUUUCUAUAAAUCAGACUUUUAUUUAGUCAGGCUGCCCUUUACCCCAAUUAAUCCAAAUCAGUGAGCUUUUACUGUAAUUGAAAGUUGUGCGUACUUGCCAUUUCCGCUGACCCUCUAAGAGCCUGUAAUGGCAAUUGGAAAAUUUCCAAGGUGCUGGUACCUUUAGUUUCUCCUUUGCUCUUCUUACAGACAAUAGAAGUUUGCAUUGUCAAAUGUAAAUCUUCUCUGAAAACACCCCCUCAUAUCCUCAACACCUCCUUUAGAAAUUUUGCUAUUUCUUAACACUGAUUUUACCUAACAAAUCCUUAAAUGGAUUUUAUGUAAGCUGCUUCUAUUUACCAUCUCCAUUCAUUUCAACCACUAGCCACGGGGCCUGAGACCUGAGUCAGCCUCAGCCUACCUCUCCCUCACUGAUGCCAUCAGGUGUCAAACCUUGUUCAAUCGGCUACUGAAAAGCCUCUCAAAUCGGUUGUUGCUACUCUAAUUCUCCCCUCACUUCCUAACUUCAAGCUCUCACUAUUUCUUGCCCAGACUGAUAUAAUAAACCUCUUUCUAAAGGCUUCCCACCUCCAAAUGUCAUGGCCCUCCAAUCCAUCCAGAACCAAUGCCCACUCUGAUUCUUCUCUCACAUGCACAUCUGAUUGGCUCUCCACUAUUCCCAAGCCGGAAUCCAAGCUUUUUAGCAUGACCUAAAUGGCCUUUUACCAUGUCAUCCCCAAACUCUUGUUGCCUAUUUUCACACCUUUGUUACUUUUGCACAUAUUUUCCCCACCGUGUCAAAUUAUUCUCCGCCUAGCACCCUUCUUCAACCAGCAAACUCACAUGCAUCCUUUGAAGAUAAGCUUAAGGGAAAAGGAACUGUUAUAUAGUUGUUAGGAGCAUGAGCAUCAGUGCACUUAAACCUAGGUGUGAAUCUAGAACUGACUCCAGCUGCAUCCCAGCUCUACCACCUCCCGGCUUUAGGACCUGUGGCAAAUUACUCAGUCUUCCUGAGCCUCUGUGUCCUCUGUAAAAGGAGAAACAUUAAACAGAGCAUUGUUGUGAGAACUAAAUCAGUCUUUGAGGUGCUCAGUCCAGUGCCUAUAACGUAGCAACUGUGCAAUAAAGAAUGGCUAUUAGUAUUUUACAAUUUCAUCUCUUCUAUGAAGUUCUCUUCCAGCCAACAUCAUUUCCUUAAGAUAUAAUUGAUUCUCAUCGUGUGCUCUCAGAGUGUUUCGUUUCUACUUCUGUGGCACUUACCUUAUUGUAGAAUGCUUAUUUCUUUAAUAAUAAUCAUGGCUAAACACUUAUUCAGUACUUUCAAUGUGUGUCACUUUUGUAAGCCCCCUACAUGUAUUAUCAAAUUGGACCCUCAAAAACUCCAUGAGGGAGGUAUGAUUAUGAAAUGUAUAUUAGUGAUGAGGAAACUGAAGCCAAAAAGGAUAAGCCACUGGCCCAAUGUUACUCUGCCAGGUGGCAGAACCAGAAAUUGAAACCAGGCAGCCUUGCUCAAAACAUAUUCCUUUAACUACUAUUGACAUGGGAAUAUAAGCUCCUUGAGUACAGAAACUGUCCCUCACAUCUCUAUGUCAUUAGUACAUGCACAACUUCUACAGACAAGAGAGGUUCAUUAUGAGCAUCUGAAGAGCUCUCAGAACAGAAUGUCUGGCUGCCUCUGACCCAAGACAUACUGAAAACCCAGCCGCAAAGGUCAUCCAUUCAAACUUGGUUUGUUCUUCUGUUUCCAUCUACAAACUCAAUUCCUCUGCUUUGGUCCAAGGGAAGUUCAGGGAAUCUUAUAAUAUUAAAUGUGGUCCAGAGUCCUGCCGUCUACAAAGGAGGCAGUGAAGGGAGACUUCUGUGAGUUGAGAAGUUACUUCUAAAGAUAUGGACUAUACCCAGUGAGCAUUCAGGCCUUACAUGUGUUUUAUCACUUGGAUGAAUACAAAAUUGUAAUUGACAAGUUAGUCUCAAAGAAUGCUGUGCUACUGCAGAGAAUAUUUUCCUCCUUGGUAAUUUUCCAAAUUUAAGAAAAGAGCAUUCUGGGGCAUUACCUUCAUAUUUACAUUCAGAGAGAUGGGUAUAAACAACCAAUUUUUUAAAAAAUUAUUCAGUGGGAAAUAGCACGCUCGUGAAAUGUUAAGUUUUUACCACCUAAAAUUAUAUUACAUUUGAUAUGGGAAUAGGAUGGUAUAUAAAAGCCCAGAUACACAUUUCAUCAUUUCAUCAUCUAUUUCAGCUAGUUGUGCUCCUACCUCCAUUUAUAAAGUAGGCAAAUAUAAAAUUAUCCAGGAUUGCUCUGUGUAGUUAGAAAAAAAAUUGUGAGCCUGUAUAUUUGGGGCAAAAUUUGUAUCUGUGUUGUGAGCAUCACUCAAUGAAUCUCUAGUUUAAACACACAAUGCCUGCACACUUGCCUGAGCUCUUGCUGGGUCUGAGGUCGUAUCAUCAGCAUGUACACAUCCAGAGCAUUUCAUGAACUGUAUGAUGUCGGCAGGUCAUUAAUAAAAACUGAAAAAGUAAAAAGCCCCAUAAUUAGCUCCGGAGGUAACUUUGAAUGUAACAUUUUCACCUCAGAUUCAACACCAUUAAACAAAACGACUGGGGUUUAUUCACUAAUGUAGCCUGAGAACCAUUCCACUGUAGUUAAACUUUGCCAAAUUGAGGGACACUCAAAUAGCAAUAUGUUGUGAUUCAUCGAAUCAAAGGCCACAGACAAAUCAAUAGAGAUAGUUGCUGCAUAAAAAAUGAUAAUGAACAAAUGUAACAAUAUCACCAAGGUUACCUUGAGAAAAGCAAAGAAGUGGUUUAAAACCAUCACUAAAAAUAGGGUCAAUAUAUCAGGCUUGAAUGAAAAGCUCAUUAAGUUUUUAGCAGAUUUAGGAAAAACUAAAAUAAGGUAAAUAAGUAAUCACUGGGAGAAAAUUAUUUAUCAAGGUAUAAUAUAAGGGUCUGGUCUUUUAAUAGUAUAAGCAACCUGAAAUGCAACAGACCCGCUAGCAACAGGUUAAGAAGGGCUUAACAUGGCCAUUAUGAAGAAAAUUCUGAGGAACAGAAACCUAUUGCAACAAAUCACUGAGUCAAUACAAAUACACAUUUAAAAUCUUGAAGGCACAUAUUCGUCAAACGACAGAUAAAGAAAUACAGGAUGUGAAUUAGUCUAAUUCUUUUCUUAUUUUAACUCUAUUUGAUUAUUUAUCUUUGAACAAAACCCAACCCCUUGAAUAGAUUAUGAUGCUUAUCUGAAUUUCUCAAGUGCCUCUUUGGACAAUUUGUUAGCAUAAAGAAGGCAGUAACAAGUUAUCAAUAAGCAACUCUUGUUGCUUAUUCAAAUAAAAAGCAUUACACUGAUGUACACUUAAGUUGGUGCUUUAGACAGUUGGUGGGAAACACAGCCAUCAUAUUUUUUCCAGUGGUAAAAGUCUAAAAUCACAAAGCUAGAAGCUGCCUUUAAGAUUGUUUAGUCCAGGCCUACCAUCAAUCGCUUUCAUCUUUUAUAGUACCCAUUUCUCAAUAUGUUUAAAUAUUAAAUAUCCAAUAAUGUGCUUUUCAUAUUUACUGUUUUAAUGAGUGAGUUUCAGUAAGUAUUUCUAAACAUUAUUUUAACAGUAACAACAAUGGCAAAUUUUACCCAAUAUUUAAACAUUUUUUUAAACUACAAAAAUCACUGUAUGAAAAGCAACUAUAUCAUAAGCGAAAUAAACAUCUUAAAAAAAAUAAAGAAUGAACUUAAGGUUCUUCAAGAAUCUGAACGUUAAAUUCUUAGAAAAAGGCCACAAGCCGUUAGAUUAAUAUCUUCUCAGUUGUGAGAGUAUCCUUUUCAUGUAAAAUAAAAAAUAUCAGUAAUUUGCUUUGUGUUUGAGCAAUACAGAAUAAAAAAUAAUUUCCUACCUUAAAAAAGUGAAUACUAGAAUGCUUUGAUUUUGAGCUGCUAAAACAAUAUGUAGCUUUUGGAAAUAAUUAUUUUAUUUAAUACACAUACAAAUAUGAAUUUCUCAACUUUUUUACCUCAGAAUCUCAGUUCUAUAAUCACAUUGGUAUAGUUUUAGGGAAUUCAUAGCCCUAAACAGUCCUAAACAGAAAAAAGAAAUGUAAAGACCUUCACAGCAAGAAUAGACGUGUUUAUUUAAAAUCUCAAAAUAAAAGUUCUAUAAAUGUUAUGAAUCUGAAUGAUGAUCCAAACGAUGACCAUAGUGAAAAGUUACAAUUCCAGUUUAUGGCAUGGUUUCUAUUCAUCACCAUAGAAUCUGGGAUGGUAAGCUUCCUUUUGUGUCGAUAAACAAAGGUUACCUAAUAGCUUCCAAAUUAUUGGUAGUUUUUAAUAGAGCCCAAUUUAGAAAAGAAACCCUUUCAUGAGGACCUUUUUAUUUUAACCUACGAAAUCCAAACAAGAUGCAAGGACAGUAAGAGAAACAGACAAGUUUGUUACAGUGUAGUAAACAAAGACAAUGCUCUUGCACAUGAUUAGCCAACCAACCCUUGACCUGAGCAGGACCACCUGAGCACACAGUUUAUUGAACUUACUAAAUUUUGCCUUUGAAACGAAUGCUUUUAAAGGACGGACUCCUAACCCAUAUUGCAGAGGUUCACAAGCUGGAUGGCAAGCUUGACGGUGGUGGUUCUUAAUCAUUAGAGAGACACAGACCCCUUUGACUACCUAGUAAAAGCCUCAGAACCACUCUCCUAAACAUAAACAUGCAAAUCCACAUUUUUGCACACUAUUUCAGGGGUCAAGGACCACCCCACUUCACCCACUGAUCUGGGCUCUAGGCUGAGUCAGCAAAAUUUGAAAACUUUCUUUUUCAGCUGAAUAUUUAUUCUAACUACCAUGGCACUUGAAUGACAUUUUAAAUGUGUACUGGUUUUCAUCAACAUGAUUUCCUUCAUUCCACUUUAUUUGCUAAAUACAAAAAGAAAUGAUGGUGCCAGGUAUUUUGGUAAAGGUUCUAUGUACAAUGACACAUAAGCAUUAUUCUAUAGAUGUGACUUUUUUAAAAAUGCACCUUCCCUGGCAUUGCAAAUACAUAAUCUCAUGGAAAUAAAGAGAAUCGUGAGCAGAAAGAGAGUUUGGUAAAUUUCACUUAAUACCUCAGGUCUUGCAGAUAUGAAGAAAUUGGUGUAAAUUUUAGAGUAUGGGCUGACUAUCUAUAUUAGUCUGUCUAGGCAUAAAAUGUUUUCAGUUUAGCUAGAAAACUCCUGUAGUAAACCAUAAUGUCACUAUAAAGAAGACCCUUUUCCUGAGUUUCCAAGUUUUCUAAGCCAAAUUAUAAUAGUUGCAUCUACAUCAGUAAGGUUUAUAUAAUCCUCUCUCUAACUUGUGGAUUCCAACAUCCACAAGAAAAGGGUAGGCAAACAAUCUUUCACAUCCAGUUCCAUCUGUGUGAAGAUUAGAUAACCAGCAGUAGAAGCUACCAAAAUCUCUGGACUGAGAAUUAUUGAGGACAUCAUUCUAGCACUAAUGUCAUUCCUGCAUAGAUGCAUUACUUCCAACAAUCAACCAAAAAUUACCUAUUGUUUCUGUGCUAGACACUGUGCUUAAGAAUAAGUUGAUACCAAUAAAACAAUUAGAACAGUCUAUAUUCAUUGUUAGUACUCAACAAAUGUUAACUAUUAUUAUAAUCAUUAAUGUUUUUAUGGUUGUACAAAUUCAAAUAGCUUCUGCACUCAACGAGCUGUAUUCUAGUAAGACAUUUAAGAUAGGGCAUGGUAAGAUUAUGAGGGAAGUACAGUCAUCCUUCCAUAUCCACGGGGGUUUUGUUUCAGGACCCCCCAGGGAUACCAAAAUCUGUGAUUGUUCAAGUCUCUUAUGUAAAAUGGCAUAGUAUGUGCAUGUAGCUUAUGUAUAUCCUUCUGCAUGCUUUAAAUCAUCUCUAGAUUACUUGUAGCUAAUACAUUGUAAAUGCUAUGUAAAUAGUUGUUACACUGUAUUGUUUUCUUAAAAUUUGUAUUAUUUAUUAUUCUAUUGUAAGUUUUAAUUGUUUUUUUCCAAAUGUUUUUGAUUUGAGGUUGGUUGAACCUGUGAGAUGCAAAAUCCAUGGAUGGAGAGGGCCGCAGAAACCAAGAGGUGGGCUGUGGAAGUCAUUCUAGUGAGUCAGGGAGCGUUUUUCAGGAAAAAAAAAAAAAUAGUGGCUAGCUCAGCAAAUCAGAAGGAAAGUGUAGCCAUCUAGGUAGCCAAUUAUAAAUGCAAAGCAAGAAACAGCAUAUAUUUGGGUAACCAAUGGUUAGAGCAAAGACUACACGUGGAAGUUUUGGACUACAGGUAGAAGAUGGGCCGGAAAGGAAUGAAGAGGCAGAUUAUGGCAGGUUGUUAGGUGCUUGUGACAGGUUGUUAGGUUACUGUGAAUGCUGUGGAGAGUUAUUUUAAAGACUUUCACACAGCAGAGUCCUCCUGCUAUUAGCUGUGUAACUCAUUCAUUCACUUAACCUUUUUAGGUUUUGGUUUACUUACGUGAGGAAAAUGGUUGCUCAGGUCUCUUCCAGCUUCCUUUUUUUUUUUUUUUUUUUUUUUUUUUGAUGAUCCCUUUGUUCUUGUAUCAAGAAUUACCAAAAUGAAUGGAAGAUUCAAAAGAUUUUGUUUCACAGAAUCACAUAUCAUUACAGAGAGACAUUUGUAUGACUUUUGAACUUUAUAAUUAGCUUUUCUAAGUAAAUAAAUCACUGUUUGAUUUUGGCUUAUGCCCUUUGCUCUAUAAAAAACAAAAACAAGCUUCCAAAAAUUCCAGAUAUCUCCUUCAAAAUAAUGAUCAAAAUGCAUUUGGAAGCCUACUUAGAAUUUACGUAAGAUAUUUUUCUAAUGGUAAUUUGAAAAAGGAGGAAAAACCACAAAUUAUUGCUCAAUCAUUAACACAGUCAGGUACCACUCCAGUGGCUGAUAUUCAAUCAGCCGAUUAAAAUCAUCUAGUCAGUUACCUUAUGAUUUUCCAAUUUUAUAGUCAGAUCAGUUGGAGAUGUAAUUAAUACAUAUCUAAAUUAUCGACAUUGUUAGUUUUGCAGUGUCUCACUAAAAUUCUAAUUUUGAUUGACAAGUAUGAAAUUUAAGUUUUCUUUCCACAACCUGAGUAUUUCUAUUGUUUUGUUGAAAUUAUAAUAGUUUCCUCUGUGCUGCAUCCAUGACUCAAGCAAACACACGGCACCUGAUGAAACUGAUAUAUAUAUAUCACCUUCCUCUACAUUCUUCCCUUGACCGUUUUUUCUCACUUGAAAAACAGAGCGAAUCAACCCAAACCAGAAAAAUUAUUAGGUUUUUAUGGAAGUGUAACAUAGGUAGAAAAUGUGAGUCAUAACAUGAUACUGCAAAAAAGAAAGUUUAGAAGCAAAUGAAAAGAAAAUAAAUGUCAAUUUGAUAAUUCCUCUUUUCUGUGUAUCUGUAAGUAAAACUUUGUUGUUCCCUAAGGCCUAACUGUUAAUCUAUUGCUGCUCUAACUUCAUCCUCUAAUUCCCAAUUCACUAUAUUGAAAGGAUCUAUUUCAAGAAUCAAGUUUGAGUGGAUUUUGUAUUGUAUUGGAAUAUCUUCUCCCCUUUCUCCACCUUUCAAUGAAAGUCAAAAGCUUUGUGGCCAAAUGAAGUAGGCUUAGGUUGUUUACCUUCACUUUUCCCAUUGUUUCAGACUUCUAGCACAUUCUUUCAUUCUAUCUUCUCUACUAUAACACUCUGUUUUCAUCACUUGGCUUUCUGCCAAGCUCUCCAACUAUGCCUUUCUCAAAAUUGCUGUCUUUUUGGAAGACUUUAAUCACAAGUUGAAUCUAAAUAUAAAUGCUACACUGUAAGCCCCUUUAUCUAGUAAAUGUCACCAACUUUCUCAUUUUAUUUAAUGCUCCAGUAUUUUGGCUUCAUUUAUAUUAAACUAUCAGUAGGCAAAGACUAAGUCCAUCUUGGGAUAUUCAGAAUUGCUGGUCUGGCUUCUCACAAUGCUGAGCUCCCAAGCAGAUUGGGAAGAAGAUUGCAGGUCAUGCUCACCCCCAUCCUCAACCCAUCACAUAUCAAGGAUCUUUCUAAGCUCAUGCCCAGAUGCUCAAGUUUGCACCCCAGCCUCCUCAGACCAUGAUGCCAGCAGCUACACCCUCCACUACCAGAUGGGCAGUGUGGAUAUGGAGUGCCCGCUCUACACCGAGUUCUAGCUCAAACUAGAUUCUUGUUUGGAAAUAUGUUUUCCCCAAAGUUCUUUAUGUCCUUUAUGUGGUUUGUUUUCAAGAAGAUAAAAAUGUGCUUAAGUAAACCCAGAGCAGCCCAAAUGGGAUUCCUGGAGAACCAAUCCCUGGAUAUUUUUGCCACCUUCCUCUGUGGCUUCCUAUGAGGACCACUUUCAGGAUUAUGCACAGAUGCUAUAAGGAUAGAAAACCUCUCCUCUGGUAGUUUAUGUGAGUCUAUUACUCUAAAAAGUAAGGACAUAUCCCAUAAACCACUCACUGCCAAGGUACAGUCCCUCAUCUCUUUGGUCCUUAUCACCUCUGCCCUCUUAGGACUUGCCUGGCUGAUAACAGACUUGUGUACAUGUUUUGUGUCUCCUUGAGGGCACAAGGUUUCUGUCUUAGGCAGCUUUCUGUUCUCUGCAGUUUCUUCCAGUGGUACGUAAUAUACUUUAGUUGCUCAUUACAUUUGUUUAAAAGAAAUAUACAGAAAACUGAACACUAAUAGAAAGAGUAUGUGCUUCCUGUUUGAAAUAUGGGUCAUCCAUGGAAAUAAAAACCUUAAGGAAAGAAAAUUUCAUUAUCAUUGGGGAAUGCUUCUCACAUGAAAAAGGAACCAGAGGGCAAGGGAGCACCCACGUUAAAUUACAAUGGGCAGGAAAUGAUGCUGUAUCACUGGGCUAAGACCUAAGGUAAGGGGCAUAUUUAAUCCUGAGGAUAAAUGUUUCUCAGCUUCCAUCCAAAUCUAGAAUGUUACUAUAUUUCCCUUCCUUACUUGCUCUCCCUUUUUUAAGUCCUUCAGCCUGACCUGAAACUUAAAUAUACCGAAUGAAAGCAAAGUCAGCAGCCGGAUUGCCUGGGGCCAUGAGCAAGCCAAAAGUACUCUCUCCUUUUCUCAACACCUGCUGCUGAAAGGAAUUAAUAAAAAUGGCAGCCCUUCACCUAAUGUCAUAAUCAUAAGAUCAUAAUAUAUCAGGCAAUGGGUCUGUGUCAUAGCAAAUACAUCAAGAGCCAUAGCUACAUAAAACCAAAAUAAAUUAGGGGCCACAACAAAUGCAAAACAAAUGUAAACAAGAUAUAACAGAUGUUCAUUAAUAUUACUGAAAGAUAAAUAAGAACUCUUGUACUAUCCUGGCUGAUACGGUUUGGCUGUGUGUCCCACCCAAUUCUUAUAUCAAAUUGUAAUCCCCAUGUGUCAGAGGAGGGACCUGGUGGGAGGUGAUUGGAUCCUAGGGGCGGAUUUCCCCCCAUGCUGUUUUGGUGAUAGUGACUGAGUUCUCAUGAGAUCUGAUGGUUUGAAAGCAUGGCACUUCCCCCUCACUCUCUCUCUCCUGCCACCUUGUGAAGAAGGUGCUUGCUUCUCCUUCACCUGCUGCCAUGAUUGUAAGUUAAGUUUUCUGAGGCGUUUCCAGCCAUGUGGAACUGUGAAUCAAUUAAAGUUAUUUUCUUAAUAAAUUACCUAGUCUCAAGUAGUUCUUUACAGCAGAGUGAAACAAACUAAUACACUGGCUUAAAUUAAAAAACUGAAAGCCAGGCAAUUUAAUAAUAUAAUCUGUACUUUAAAAACAUCCAUUAAACCACAUUUACUUUGGGAGGCUGAGGUGGGUGGAUCACGAGGUCAGGAGUUCAAGACCAGCCUGGCCAAGAUGGUGAAACCCCGUCUCUACAAAAAAUUAAAAAAAUAAUAAUGAUUAGCUGGGUGUGGUGGUGGGUGCCUGCAGUUCCAGCUACUGGGAGACUGAGGCAGAGAAUUGCUUGAGCCCGGGAGACAGAGGUUGCAAUGAGCCAAGAUUGCACCACCGCACUCCAGCCUGGGUGACAGAGUGAGACUCCAUCUCAAAAAAAAAAAAAAAAAAAAAAAAAAAAACCCACACAUUUAUUAUUCAUUAAAAUUAAAAUGGUGAUAAAAGUGCUUGCAGGUAUGGAGUUGGGGGCUCUUACUUGUCUAUAUUUUCUUUAACUUACCUCUUCUUGCUCUGAAAUCUCUAUUCCUGGUAAUGAUGGGGGAAAUGGAAAUAACAGCAUCCUUAAAUUUGACAACUAAAGGUAUUUUAGUUUCUUGUGAGGGUCUCCUUUCCCUGCCUUUCUCUUCUAUGUUCCCGCCUCUCCUGUUCACCUAGUAGAAAGGGUGUUUGAGUGAAUGGAUAUUUCCAUUGAGUUGAACCUGAGUUCUUCUUCCCUCUGUGAUUUAUUCUAUGUUAGUUCUUAAACAUUGGUUCUCAAUAUCUAAAGAGAAGUUCUUUUAGAGUUUAAAACAUCCCUUUGUCUUGUUGGCAAAGUUGCCUUUUGAGACAAUUGGGCCAAAACAAAAUCAACUUAGGACAUUGAUCAAGCUCAAUUACUAUCCUUUUAGUCCUAGGUAGUAUCCAUUUUCUCUUGAAGCAGUAAAUGGGCAACAAGGCAAUGUAUUUUAUGAGAAAUUUAAAAAAGAUGUGGAUUUUUUAAUGGAUAAAUGGUAAGUGGGAGACUGGAAAACACAAUGAAGAUGGAAAAGAAGAAAAAUAAAAAAUGAAAGCUGAAAGAAAUAGAAGAAAAAGAUGAACACUGGAAAGGAAACAGACACCAAGGAAGGAGAUAGAAAGAGAGGAGCAAACUUAGGAAGGAAGGAGGGAGAACAAAAGAAGGCCAGAAGAUGGGUCCUAAAACACUGAUGUGUUCCCACUCUUCAGAAAACUGCUCUCCUUGCACUGUUCACAUUGAGGCUAGAGUGCUCUUUCCAUUAAGCAAGUCAUAGUGUGGCCCUUGCGCUGCAGGCCUGUAGUGGCUUCUGUGGCUCACAGGGUCCACUUGACUCUCCACAGAGUUCUGCAGAGCCAUGCCAUUACCGGUCUAUGCACCACAUACGGAAGCCACCUUGAUGACACACAUUCCCUCUCCACUUAAUCCCUCACCCUACUGAACUGUUGUAUGUUUUGUUACCAAUUCCCGCUUCCCCUUUUUCUCCCUGAAUAACUCUUAGUCAUCCUUAAAGGCUCUGUUUAAAUGGCUUCUGACUCUCUCUUCAUUCGUUUAUAUGCCCUUAUGACAACCUAUGCAUACUUCUUUUUUUUAUUAUUGAUACAUAAUAUUUAUACAUAUUUAUGGGGUACAUGUGAUAUUCUGUUAUAUGCACUGACUGUGUCAUAACCAAGUCAGGGUAUUUGAGAUGUCCAAUGCCUUGAGUACUUAUCAUUUCUAUAUGCUGGGAUUAUUUCAAGUCCUCUUUUCCAGCUGUUUUGAAAUAUACAAUGUAUUUGUUGUUAACUACAGUUACCCAACUCUGCUAUCAAAUAUUAGAACAUAUUCCUUCCAUCUAGUUGUGUUUCUACCCAUGAAUCAGCCUCUCUUUAUCUCCCCC